rnacentral:lncRNA from 1 species
UUUAAAAAAAAAAAAAAUUGAAAAACAUAUAAGACCUAACAAUAUAAAAAGUCAGACAAAAAAUUAAAAAAGAGAAAAGUUAAUGCAAAAUAAAAAAAAGUAUGAGAAUUUAAAAGCGCAAAUAAGAAAUGAAAGGAAAUUUGAGGAAAAAAAGAGACAAAAGAUUUGGAAUAAAAAAUAGAAAAAUAGAAAUUUUAAAACAACAAAAAAAUUAAAACAAGUAAAAAUGAAAGCUUAUGAAAAAAAAAAGCAAAAAGAAGGAAAAUUGUGAAGGGAAAAAGUUAUUAAAAAAUUACAAAGUAGAAAAAAAGAAAAUAAAAAAUAAAUUAAGAGAAAAAAUUAAAUAAAAUACCAAAAAAGGAAAAAAUAAAAAUAAACAAAGUAAGAAAAUAAAAAAUUAGCGAAUCAAAAAAUAUAAAAAGACAAAAUGAAUAAAAAUUUCAAAUAUAAAAUGAAAAAACUUUUGGUUUAGAAUGUACAAAGAAAAAAAAAAAAUAUAACAAACAGAGGAAAAAGAUAUAAAAUAUGAAAGAUGAAAAAUAAAAUAAAAGAAAGUGCACAAAAAAAGAAGUUUGAGGUUUUAAAACUAUAAAGAAGAAAUAAAAAAAGGUGUGAACAAAAAGAUUUAAAAAAAAAAUGAAAAUACAAAAUAUAUAAAAUAAAAUUUGAGAAAAAGAAGAAAAAAUAAAAAAUGAAGAGGCAAAAAUAUGAAAUAAAAGAAAAAGAAAAAAAUUUAUAGAAAAUUUUAAAACAAAGAAAAAAGUGAACAAAAAAGAAUGAUGGCAUAUAAAAAAAAGUAAAAAAAAGAAGAAAAAUUUGGAAGGAGAAAAAGUUAAUGAAAAAAAUAUAAAAAUGCAAUAGAAAAUAACCAAGAAUGAUAAAAGAAAAAAAGAUAAAAAAAUUAAAAAUUCCAAAACUUUAUAAAAAUUUAUGAAAUUAUGAAUAAAGAAAGAAAAUAAAAUAAGAAAAAAAAUUAAAGCAAAAGAAAAAAGAUAGAUAAAGCACGAAAAAAAAAAAAAAAACAAAAAAUUAAAAAGUAAGAAAAUGAAAAGGACAAAAUUGAAUAAAAAUUUCAAAAAUGAAAUGGAAUGACAAAAUGAAAAAAAAUUAGUUUAAAAAUACAAAAAAUUAAAAAACAUAUAAGACCAAACAAUCUAAAAAGUCUGACAAAAAAUUAAAAAAGAGAAAAGUUAAUGCAAAAUAAAAAAAAAAAAGUAUGAGAAUUUAAAAACGCAAAUAAGAAAUGAAAGGAAAUUUGUGGAAAAAAGAGAAAAGACAAAAGAUUUGGAAUAAAAAAGAGAAAAAUAAAAAUUUUUAAAACAGCGAAAAAAUUAAAAAAAAGCAAAAAGAAGGAAAAUUGCAAAGGGAAAAAGUUAUUAAGAAAUUACAAAGUAGAAAAAAAUAAAUUAAGAGAAAAAAUUAAAUAAAAUACCAAAAAAGGAAAAAAUAAAAAAUUAGCGAAUCAAAAAAAUAUAAAAAGACAAAAUGAAUAAUCAAAUAUAAAAUGGAAAAAACUUUUAGUUUAUAAUUUACAAAGAAAAAGAAAAAAAAUAACAAAUAGAGGAAAAAGAUAUAAAAUAAAGAUGAAAAAUAAAAUAAAAGAAAGUGCACAAAAAAAUAAGUUUGAGGUUUUAAAGUUAUAAAGAAGAAAAAAAAAAGGUGUGAACAAAAAGAUUUAAGAAAAAAAUAAAAAAUGAAAAUACAAAAUAUAUAAAAUAAAAUUUGAGAAAAAGAAGAAAAAAAUAAAGAAUGAAGAGGCAAAAAUAUGAAAUAAAACAAAAAGAAAAAAAUUUAUAGAAAAUUUUAAAACAAAGAAAAACCUGAACGAAAAAGAAUGAAAGCACAUAAAAAAAAGUAAAAAAAAGAAGAAAAAUUAUAAAAAUGCAACAGAAAAUAACCAAGAAUGAUAAAAGAAAAAAAGAUAGAAAAAAAAAAAUUCCAAAACUUUAUAAAAAUUUAUGAAAUUAUGAAUAAAGAAAGAAAAUAAAAUAAGAAAAAAAAUUAAAGCAAAAGAAAAAAGAUAGAUAAAGCACGAAAAAAGAAAAAAAACAAAAAUACAAAAAAUUAUAAAAAGUAAGAAAAUGAAAAAGGACAAAAAUUGAAUAAAAAUUUCAAAAAUGAAAUGGAAUGACAAAAUGAAAAAAAAAUUAGUUUAAAAAAUACAAAAAAUUAAAAAACAUAUAAGACCAAACAAUCUAAAAAGUCUGAAAAAAAUUAAAAAAGAGAAAAGUUAAUGCAAAAUAAAAAAAAAAGUAUGAGAAUUUAAAAACGCAAAUAAGAAAUGAAAGGAAAUUUGUGGAAAAAAAAAGAAAAGACAAAAGAUUUGGAAUAAAAAAGAGAAAAAUAAAAAUUUUUAAAACAACGAAAAAAUUAAAAAAAGUAAAAAUGAAAACAUAUGGAAAAAAAAAAGCAAAAAGAAGGAAAAUUGCAAAGGGAAAAAUUAUUAAAAAUUUACAAAGAAAAAAAAAUUAGGGAAUCAAAAAAUAUAAAAGGAAAAAAUAAAAAUAAACAAAGUAAGAAAAUAAAAAUUAGGGAAUCAAAAAAUAUAAAAAGACAAAAUGAAUAAAAAUUUCAAAUAUAAAAAGAAAGUGCACAAAAAAGAAGUUUGAGGUUUUAAAAUUACAAAGAAGAAAUAAAAAAAGGUGUGAACAAAAAGAUUUAAGAAAAAAAUAACAAAUGAAAAUAUAAAAUAUAUAAAAAAAAAUAUUUGAGAAAAAAAAUGGAAAAAGAAGAAAAAAUAAAAAAUGAAGAGGCAAAAAUAUGAAAUAAAACAAAAAGAAAAAAAUACAAAAAAAGGACAAAAAUUGAAUAAAAAUUUCAAAAAUGAAAUGGAAUGACAAAAUGAAAAAAAAUUAGUUUAAAAAAUAAAAAAAAAUUGAAAAACAUAUAAGUCCUAACAAUAUAAAAAUUCAGACAAAAAAUUAAAAAGAAAAAGUUAAUGCAAAAUAAAAAAAGUAUGAGAAUUUAAAAAUGCAAAUAAGAAAUGAAAGGAAAUUUGUGGAAAAAAAAGAGAAGCAAGAAAAGACAAAAGAUUUGGAAUAAAAAAUAGAAAAAUAAAAAUUUUUAAAACAACGAAAAAAUGAAAGCAUAUGAAAAAAAAGUAAAAAGAAGGAAAAUUGUGAAGGGAAAAAGUUAUUAAAAAAUUACAAAG